rnacentral:lncRNA from 13 species
AGAUCCCGGAAGGAGAUACUUUGUCCUUGUCAAUGGCAGGUAUAUGCCUGUGGUCCCAGCUGAGGCUGAGGCAAGAGGAUCACUUGAGCCUGGGAGGUCAAGGCUGCCGUGAGCAGUGAUGGCACCACUGCACUCUAAGCUGAAUGACAAAGAGCAACGUGCAACUAAAUCAGCUCAAAAAGAACAUGAGGAUUUGGAAGAACUGAUUUGAAGAUAUUAGAAGACAUUUCACAAAAGUCCUAGUUUACAUUGUUGCACAGACUUGAGCAAUGCUAAUAAAUUGCCCUGGCUAAAAAGACUGUUUCCUUUC